ACCUGGGCAACCUGCUAUAGAGAACCUGCUUUGGCAGGGGGGUUGGACCUCACGAUCUCUUCAGGUCCCUUCCAACCCCUACAAUUCUGUGACUGCUAUUGAGUUUGUUGUUCUUCUUGUGCUGGCUGUUUUGACUGCAGUUAGCAAGAGGGGUAGCUUCCAAAGGAAAUUUCACAUGCUAAGUCACGUUUCAGUUAGAGGCCAUGUCAAGUCCAAGGUGUUAGCAAUAAUAUUAUUAUCUGUGAUGAGUGGCACUGGCAAUAAUAAUUUUGUUUUGAUAGAGUGGCUGCAAGUGUCAGCAUUGUUUCUAAAGAGCCUUAUCUCACCUUUUAUUUUUUCCAACAAUCCUGGAGGUAAUUUAUGUUCAAAAACUUUCCUUGUAAUAAUGAUUUUGGCACCUUCUAGCUCUGCAUUCCUUUGUCCUUGUGGCUGUGCACAAGUUCGUCUUGAAGUUCACCUGCUGGUGAUAGUCCUGCCGUAAGUGGAACGCUGGACUGGAGACCUCUGGAGUUCCCUUCCAGCCAGCUCUUCUGCAUUUCUGUGAAAUUAUCCUUGAUGAGACCAGGAACUGCACUCAGUGCUCUGAGCCUUGCUGCUCCAGAAGAGCAUAAGGCCAUUUGAACCACAGCCUCAGCUGUCUACAUAUAGAGAAGAAUUUACAAUGGUGUAUUCUGGAGACAAUUGACCUGCUUUUUUUUUUUUUUUUUUCCUUUUUUUCUUUUCUUUUUUAAUCAUGACCUUUACCAGGGAAGACCACCUCCUUUUUGAACUUCUGAUGCACUAGUUUUAGCCAUGAUUAUGCCAUACAAUAUGGCAUAUUAAGGUAUAGGAGGUGCUAAAUUAUAUUUAUCUGCUCUUGUCAGAAAAGCAACCUAGAAAUAUCACUCACCUUAUGGGUCUCAGUGGCCCAAAUGUCUGGCCACGCUAUAAGUGCUCUAGUAGGUGAGUUGCGCGUAUUAAGUAACAAAAAAACAGCAGUGAGUAGUACUAGCAGAGAUGGUGUUUUGAAGCACAGACCUGUUGAGCCUCUUUGAAUACUUUCCCUCAUGCUGUUAGUCCCCAAGGUCUUAGAUGAUUGGAGAGGAUAUUUAGUCGGCCUCUUGAAAGUCUGCUUGUGUUUCCCUUGAUUACAGCCAAGUGCUUAAAGUAUCCCACGGAGGAAAACUUAAUACUAUAAUUUGAAUCUUUACAGACUGAAAAUGUUCAUAAUACACAUUUUCCAGCCAUAUCUGUCAUCUGAUAGGAAUGGGGGAGACAUCAUUUCAAGCUAAAAAUGCAGCAGGUUGAUUGUAGAGCUUAGGGGGAUAGAGCAUGUGUUUGUAAACCCCCGUUCUACUUAAUUGACCACAAAGGAAUGGAGUGGUUCCUAUUUGCUGUGUGUGGUAGCCUACAGGAAUGCAGCCUGGUCAGCUCUCUGGCAGUGUGUGGGCAUCUCCAUCAUCAGUAGCCAGAGUUGAGGAUAGUGACAUGUGGGGUUUCUUCCUGCCAUGCUGGUGCACAGCAUCCUGGAACAGAUUCCCUUUGCGCUCAGGGUCUCUCACCACCUUCUGUUUUUCACAGGGGAGUACAUGUGGAAAAUGUGGCAGUUCCCUUGAAUCUUCCCCUAGACCACUUUGUGCUGAUACUUGGCAUAUAAUGGAAGCUGAACUAAAAAGGGAAUGUUUUUUCAAAAAUGGCAUGAAUGGGGCUAGGUACGUGGAUUGCUUGGCACAGCGAUCAUCAAUUGAUUCUGGUUAGUUGUUACCAAAGUCAGGAAAAAAUAUUGAAAAAUUUGUUUCAAUUCCUGAAAAAUUACUAAAGUGCUGUGAAAUGGCUACUGCUCACUUUUAACGUCUCUGCGACAAAAACUGUCUCUGUAUCCAAGUCAGAACUGCAAGAUGCUCUCUUUAUUUUUGUUUUUGUUUUUUUUUAUUUUUAUUUUUAUUUUUAUUUUUAUUUUUAUUUUUAUUUUUAUUUUUAUUUUUAUUUUUAUUGUUGUUGUGCGACUCGGUGUUACAUCUGUGAUGCAUUUUACAUUUAUCAGAUACUUGGGUUUUGGACAAAACUGUUAUUUGCUGGUAACACUUUCAGUACUGUAUUCUUUUUUGACUACUGCUGAUUUACUGAUAGCUAUGGAGUCUCCUUGGCCAAGCCCCUACCCUAUCUCUUGUUCUGUUGCUGCACUUGUCUACACCGACAAAACUCUACAAGACUUUGUCCCUACUUCUCAAGGUCUUUGCCAACAUAUCAGGCCUGUAUUUCUUUAUAUUACGUCAGUAUGUAAGUCAUAAAUACCUUACUCUGCACAGAAUAACUACUUGUUAGUACAGUCUGUGUAAAACCAGGGUUGUAUCAAGCAACAAUGAGCAAAAAUGAAACAAAUUAGCCAGAACCCCCUGCUAUCACAGCUAGGCCAAGCUAAAGCUGCCAGGUCAAAGUUCAAAUGAGGCAAGCUUGCCAGGCCUCCGUCCUGAGUCUUUGCAAACUCAAUACAAAGCCUGUGGGCUACAGGGCAUCAAGGAUUGCUCUAUGUUUAUUACCCUGAAGCUAAUUUGCAGCUGAUUCUUAGUACAGAAACAAAUGCAAAUUUCUGUCUUUUCCCAUAAGUUUUGGCAUAAGCAUCAUGUCCUUGAAAUUGCUUCAUGCAGCCUGAAAGGCAGAGCCAGCCAACUAACUAACAGUAGGUUGUGGCAGACUGGUCGUCCUGUGAGAAGUGCACAGAAGGAUGGGAUGGAGAGGCAGGCCUGUGAGCAUGUCACUGCACUCCUGCACGCCAGCAGGAGCUGAUGUCCUGAUUCUUUCUGCCUCUUGAAUUGACCCUACCCAUCACUUUCCCUCAUUUUUUUACAGGAGCCAUGGCGUGUGUCAGGAGGGAAACUUUCAGAACUCUUUUUUUACACUAAUAUGAUGCUUAGGCAACUGUUAGUCUUUCACUGUCCUGCCUUGGUGACUGCAGGGUCCUCCAUGGGGCCUUGAAGGACUUUCAGAGACGGAGCUGGCUUUGCCUGCUACUUGUGGGUUCAAGAAGCCUGUUUUCCCAGGCCUGGGCUGCCCAGCUGCAGUUUCUGUCCCUUAGAGUUUUUUUUUUUUUUUUUUUUCUCAGUACUUCUCAGUCUUUCACUUCUACAAGGAACGUCGGUGUUUCAAUGGCAGAACAAAUCCUUGCUGGCACCCCUUCUGUUCUGCACAAAGGGCUGAACAUAACAUAGGAGCCAAAGGCAGCAGGAGGGAGUCCUUUCCUCUGUGCAUGAGGUGUCAUACCCUGUGUAGUUGAGAGACACAACUCCAAGGUCAAGUUGGUGGAGUGGAAAAUAGGGUUGUUUUCUGUUCUGAGAGCUUCUCUGAAACCGAAGAAAUGGUGCACUACCAUAAAAGUCCUUCCAGACCAGAAAAUUGAGAGAGAACUAGAAAGAGUUGAAGGUGAGAGCUCCUGCCUUGCAGGCAGGGUCUGUCUGGGCAGGAGCACCAAUCCUGUGGUAUGCAAUUUUCGAGUGCUUGCUCUACCAGGCCUUGUCCUGGAGCACAGCUCUGUUCCCCUCUGUUCUUCAGGGAACCAAGUGCUGUGCUGGUGCUCACAAGAGGAGGCUGAGCUGUUCAAGGAGCAGGUAGGGCACAGGCUCAGUCAGAGAAAGGCAAAGCUGCACUGUCAAGAGCAGAGAUACUGAGCAAAACUAUUUGACCAGAAGAGAUCACUGAAGGUGUGAACUCUUGGUACCUCUGGGAGGAGAGGUGGUGUUAUAGAGGGUUAGCUAGCAGAAGCAGCUGUGCCUAGGCUGUUUGCUGGAGCAGUACCCUAGUGAUGGUGGGAAGCGCUCAAGUUGGAGUGAUCUCCUCUCACUCUCAUCCUUCUCCUAAGCUGAAUGCUCCUGUGCAUGUGCUUGUACAGCACCCACACAGCGGGCUCUGGAAUCACACUUGGGCUAAGGUGUGGCCCUUAGCCUGCUGCCCUGAGCUCCAAGGGAGGUGUCCGAGCAUCUGAACAUGAGUGCCUACAGACAGUAGCUGCAGAAGAUACAGUGAAGGAAAAGGAAUAUGCUGGGGGACUUGAGACCCUUUCUCAGUGUAUGUCCAGUACUACAUCUGUAUGAGAUACAGUACCAACUCCUUUACCAUGAGCUCAUCAUACCCAAAUGCCCAUUAGCCUGGAACACAGUGCCUGGUCUGGAAAGGGGGAGCUCAAGUGUGACAGAGGAAAGGUGAGGAUGUGACUCCUUGCUCGUGGCUGCUCUGAGCACUGGGCUGAAGGACAAGGGUCCUUUUUGUGGGUCUCUCCUAUGGGUUAUCACCAGGACUAUAGGUUUCGCUUGGCAACUGAAUUUGUUGGAGCUUGGUGCUAUGAAGGUGAGUUUCUUACCUUGGAGCCCUGGAUGCCUCAUGGAGCCCUGGAUGCCUCAUGGAUGGACGGAUGGACAGGCAGUGGUAGAGUACAAGUCUGGCAGAGACCAAACUGUGAGCUUUACUCUGUGUGUGCCCACAUUACACCCAGCCCCAGCUUGCUCAUCCUUUAAAAUAUCAGUGGAAAAAUUGCAUCUAUUCAGAGCAGCUGGCAUCUGUAAUGCCAGAGCUGAUACCACCCCUGGCGGGGGCUGAUGACAAAAUAUCUGAGGAAUGAGAGGAGGCUCUCUUUGUCUGCCCAAGCCUACAUGUGUUCCUAGCUGCAUGCAAAGCCAGUGGAGGAGCUGACCUAUGGAGUGCUACUUCAGCCACCUAGGUGAAGCUGGCUGUUUUUUUGAUGACAAAGUACUGCCAGAACACUGCAGCAUACUGCCAUGUCUGUUAAGGCAUAGCCAGGUUUUGAAGAGCUACAGAGACUGUGGCUUUAAAUGUCAGCAAAGCUUAAUGUUAGAUUGUAGUCUGGGUUAUGGGAUGUCUUCUAUGGAAAGGAACACUGGGAAGUCUCUAGUCUGACCUCUUGCUCAAAGCAGGAGCAGCUGCGGGUUAAGACUAGGUUACUCAGUAUUUUAAACAGCUAGGUCUUGAAAAGCUCUAAGGGUGGAGACCAUGCAACCUCUCUGGAUGCAUUAAAAAAAAAAAAAAAAAAAAAACAGGAAAAAAAAAAGCUUUCCCAAUAGAGCACCUUUUUCCCUUAUAUCCGGUCUAAACUUCUCUUUUCAACCAGAAUUUCAACUUGUGUUCUUCCAUCAUGAAGUAAGAUGACUAAAAUGAAUGAUCUGGCUCCAUAUUCUCAAUAACCUCGUCUUUGGAAAGCUGCUGUUAGGUCCUCCUGAAGACUUUCUGCAGGCUGAACGAGCCCUGUUCCUUUAGCCUCUUCUCAUAUCAUAUGUGAUGGCUGGUUACAGUGCCCUGACCAUCUUGAACUUAGGUUCUUUUCCCCAAACUGCUCCCUGGCCAGUGAGUUCCCAGAACAUGUUUUUUUUUUUUUGCAUGGAUUUUUUUUUUUCCUUCCUAGGUGCAGAGCUUUGCACAAAGUCCUUGGUGAACUUCAUACAGUAUUCCUGUCAGCCCAUCCCUCCAGCUGGGUCCCUCUAGAUGGCAGCCCUGACCUUGAGGAUGUCAGUUGCUCACCUCCCUGUGUUGCCAGCUGCAAACUAUAAUCAAAUAUGUUGUCCUUGCGAGGCCAUUGAUAAAGGUGUGAACAGGAAAACUCCCAGGACUGACCCAUGCAGUAACUGUGACCCAUUAACAACUGCCCUCUGAAUCUGCUUGUCCAGCCAUUUUUUUUGCAUCUACCCACCCAAACCAUAGCCUCUUAGCUUGGACACAAGAAUAUUGUAGCAGAUAGUUUCGAAAGCUGAGGUUGGGCAGCCUCCACUGCUCUCCCCACAUCCAUAGAUCCGGUGGUCUUAUUGUAAAAGGCCAUCGUGAUGGUCAGGCAUAAUUUACAGACAUGUAAGCAACUGACCUUUCCAAGUCACCUUCUCUUUUAUGUGCCCAGAAAUGUGCUCCAAACACAUUUCUGUGUCUUUUUCAUUUUUUUUUUUCUUCUGCACUUAAGAAAGAAACCUAUUGGGAAAGCAAGGCCUUAUCUUGACUUGUGUCUUGAGAGGAUGAGGGGGGCCAGACUGGGCAUCUGUCACAGGGCAAAAUGCUAAUAAGUUCUUAUUUUUCUAUACUGUCACAUGUAAUGCCAGUGUGAAAAUACUCUGUGUGCCUGCCACGAUAGUAAAAAGAUCUCAGUCCAAAUUCAGUUUUGAUCUUAAGCAGAACUGACCUGGAUCAGAUGGCCUGUGACAGGUGAAUUCAUCUGCUCCUUGUCUCUGAAACCACCAGAGCUGCAGCUGGCAAGCUUGCUUGUACCCAAAGCAGGCAAAUGCAGCAGAGAGCAUGAAGCUCCCUGGCCUGACCUGAGCAGCACCUGGACCUCAGGGUUCUUUUUGAAGACGUUUGUUUUGAUCAGUAUCUGUUGAACAGCCCUGCUCUCCACUGGUAUCGUGCUUGAGCUUGAGCUGUGCCAGCAGUACAGAUAUGCUUUUGGAUCUCAUCUGCUACUGCUGCUGCUUCAGCCUGUGCCCUGUGCUUGGGCAGUGAGGACUACCUGUGUCACAUGUUCACACAGAAGAGAAUCACAGAAUCAUUAAGGUUAGAAAAGACCUCCAAGACCAUCUGGUACAACUAUUCCCCUGCCACCAGCAUUACCCACUAAACCAUGUCCUUAAGCACCACAUCCUUAAACACCCUCAGGGAUGGUGACACCACCACCUCCCUGGGUAACCCAUUCCAAGGCCUGAGUACUCUUUGUGAGAAGAAAUAUCUCCUAAUUUCCAACCUGAACCUCUCCUGGUGCAACCUGAGGACAUUCCCUCUAUCCUAUUGCUAGUUACCUGCAAGAAGAGGCCAACCCCCAGCUCCCCACACCUUCCUUUCGGGCAGUUGUAGAGAGCAAUGAGGUCUCCCCUGAGGCUCCUCUGCUCCAGACUAAACACUACUUCAAAUGAUGAUUGUGUCUUUGUGUCUUUAACCACUUGUGAUCAACCCCAACCAGAGCAGCCUGCUGUUCCCUAGAUGGGCUUCCAGGGCAAGUGUUUCCCACAGUACUGAGUUUACUGUCUGCCUCCAUUACAAACUCCCUACUGGUGGAGUAAUUCAUGUGAGGGAGGAAAAGUAGGUAUUUUUGCUGUCUGGAAACAAAAUAGUCCUUUUAGGCUCCAGAUCCAAAUCCUUCAGUCAUCUUCCUUGACCAUUAGAUCCCCUUAAAUGCUUCUUGAUGGUGCCAGCACUCCUAAGCCACUCCAAAGCACAACCCAGCCAGCUUUACUCACAGGCAAGGAGCAAGGACGGUAAGAACACACGGAAGAGGGCUGCAGAGUUCAGGACAGCUCUUCUGUGCCUGUCACAGUGGCUCCUUGCUUGGAAGCUGCCUUUGUGUACCAGGUCCCUCUCGCAGGGGGCUGUAAUGCUUGGGCAGACAGGGAGAGAGCAAGGAGGUUGCAGCAGAUGCAGCAGCCUUAAGUACAGUCUGGAGCAGAGUGUGCAGAGGGCUAAAAAUGCUAGUGUGGGGCCAAGAGAUGGGAUGGACUGCAGUAGGAUGGAUGGAAGAUGGAGAUGUGCAGCUGAGCUGGCACCUGGCCAUGGGGCUGUCAUUUUGCCACUAUCUCCCCCACUGUGGCUGUUACAUGUCCUCUGCCCCUCCAGGCUCUUCCCAUCCCAAAUGCUUUCCCUGACCCCCCCCCCACUUCUGUAGAGCAUUGUUGUCCUACUCAUACAGGGGUUCAACUGAUGCUGCGCCGGCCUGCAGCAGUUCUUCGACCACCACAUGUUUGUACUGGAGCAGGAGGAGUACAAGAAAGAAGUUCAUUGACUUUGUGAUGGAGCUGUCUGCUUGCAUUGAGAUUACAGAAAUGAGGAGUACAUGUUUCCCAAGGCAACUGACACCUCUUUCAAGAACAAGCUCUAUGACCAGCAUCUGGGCAAGUCCAGCAAUUUCCAGAAGCCCAAGCCUGCCAAAGGAAAGGUUGAGGACCACUUCUCCCUGGGGCACUAUGCUGGCACAGUGGACUACAACAUCACUGGCUGGCUUGAGAAGAACAAGGACCCCCUGACUGAAACUGUCACUGGGUUAUACCAGAAGUCUUCACUGAAAACAUUGGCCUUACUGUCUGCCAACUAUGAUGAACAGAUGACUUCUGUCAUAGACAAAUGUUGAGUGAUUUUGUGGCUCUUUUAAAUAUACAUAACUAAUACAGAAAUCCUAAAUAAGCAGAUGUAGAACUUGCGAACAACUUAUCCUGUUUUUGUGCAUUGUGUAAUUCCUGAUGAAACAAAGACUCCAGAUUGCUUGGCUUUCGGGGAGUCUGUCUUUUGCACGCAGUGCAACAUCCAUACAUUCUCAAAUGUUAAGCACUGGCCGUGGACGAAGCUAUACUUCAAGAUAAAACUCCUCUUAAAAAGUGUGGAAACUGAGAAGGAAAUGGCCAUGAUGAAAGAAGAGUUCAAUAAAACUGAAGAAGAAUAGGCUGAAUUGGAAACCAAGAAGAAAGAACUGAAAGAAAAAAUGGUGACUGGAGUAGAAGAAAAAGGACCUGCAGCUGCAUGUGCAGACUGUAUGCAAUUUAAAGUCAUUUUGGACUCCACAAAUUAUAUCAGUUUUGUUUGAGUGUUUAGGAAAAAGCUGAAUGGAAAUUCUCUUUCAUAUUUCAAUUGCAUAACAAGCAAAUUAUUCCUGCAAGUGUCAGUUCCAAUGUGUGACAGUGAUACAUAUUCCUAUUUUCUCUAAAAUGGAAAAUGAAACUAUGGCUGAUGCUGAAGAAAGAUGUGACCAGCUGAGCAAAACAAAUUUCCAGACGGAAGCAAGAAUAACAGAGGUAAUGGAAAAAAUAGAGGAUGAAGAGAGAUAAAUGAUUAUCUCACAGCCAGAAAGACAAAACCGGAGAACAAAUGUUCUGAACUGAAGAAAUUUAUUGGUGAUCUUGAGUUAACGUUGACCAAGGUUGAAAAGGAAAAGCUUGCCACAGAAAACAAGGUUAAAAUCUCACUGUAGAAAUGACAGGUUUGGACGAAACUACUGUGAAAUGACUAAAGAAGAAGAAGACCCUGAAAGAAGCCCACCAGCAGGCACUGGAUGACCUGUAAAUUGAGGGGUACAAAGUUCAUAUCAUCACUAAAGCCAGGAUCAAGCUGGAGUGACAAAUGUACCACAUGAGAACGUUCAACACAAGGAGAAGGGGCAGAUUCUUAAGUUGUUCCCUCAGCCAUCUUUGUAUUAUGUUACAGGUUGAAGGGACUCUAGAUCAGAAAAGAAGUUUGUAUGGAUCUUGAAUGAGGAAAUAGAAUGCUUGAAUGAGAUUUAAACUAGCCCAGUAAAUAUUAGUAGAUUUGGAGAAUUAUAACAUUUAGUUCAAAAGAUAAGGAAGUAUGAGAAAAAAAAAGAAUGCUAAAUUUACUAUUUGCUUUUAACUGGACAUAAUUUCUUUUUAUUAAAAGAUCAUUUCCUUUACAGGAAAGACUUUGAAUUUAGCCAUAUGCAAAAAAAAAAAAACAAAAAAACAAACACAAACAAAAACCAAAACAAACAACAACAACAAAACGAAACAAAAAAAACGACGAACAGCAGAAUUCAGGUAUUCAGUUGCAGAAGAUCAGAGAAUUACAGGCAAGAGACUUAUAAACUACUUCACCAUUACUGUUUAUUUGAAUAGCAGUAACAUGAAUAAUGUUUGGCCCCUGACUGAGUCACUGUAAUUACCUUGAUGUGUUGUAAGAAUUUUCUCCAUGCAAGAGAAAGUUGUUAUCUAUGGUUAGUAUGGGCUGAUCCAUAGAUCUCUUCCCAUUGGUAAUAGUUUGCAUGCAAUAACAAAACUUUAAAUUCAAAAUGAUUUUGGUUUGCUUAUAGUUUCUAAAACAAUGGGCUAGGUAUUACACUAUGACAGUAUUUUUAUGAAGCAUAAUAAUUUUUAAGCAUUAAGCAUUAAUAAAUUAAGCACUUAUUAUUAGUUACCUUAUUU